AAGCCUUUGCGGCAUGGGAUGGGGUCGCGUCCUAUCAGCUUGAUGGCGGGGUAACGGCCCACCAUGGCUUCGACGGGUAGCCGGCCUGAGAGGGCGACCGGCCACAUUGGGACUGAGAUACGGCCCAGACUCCUACGGGAGGCAGCAGUGGGGAAUAUUGCACAAUGGGCGCAAGCCUGAUGCAGCGACGCCGCGUGAGGGAUGGAGGCCUUCGGGUUGUAAACCUCUUUUGUUAGGGAGCAAGGCACUUUGUGUUGAGUGUACCUUUCGAAUAAGCACCGGCUAACUACGUGCCAGCAGCCGCGGUAAUACGUAGGGUGCAAGCGUUAUCCGGAAUUAUUGGGCGUAAAGGGCUCGUAGGCGGUUCGUCGCGUCCGGUGUGAAAGUCCAUCGCUUAACGGUGGAUCCGCGCCGGGUACGGGCGGGCUUGAGUGCGGUAGGGGAGACUGGAAUUCCCGGUGUAACGGUGG
rnacentral:rRNA from 1 species